rnacentral:snRNA from 1 species
AUGCUUACCUAGCUCUGGAGAUACCAUGAUUAUGAAAGUGGUUUUCCUAGUGUGAAGCUUAUGCAUUGCACUGGAAAUGCUGACCACUGUGAUUUUCCCAAAUGUGAGAAACUAGACUGUAUAAUUUGUGGUACUACAGGACUGAUUUCUGCUCUCCCUUGCG